AAUACAUAGCAUGCAAGAAGGCAGACCCGGAGAACUGAAACAUCUUAGUACCCGGAGGAAGAGAAAGAAAAAUCGAUUCCCUGAGUAGCGGCGAGCGAAACGGGAAGAGCCCAAACCAAUAAGCUUGCUUAUUGGGGUUGUAGGACACUCUGUACGGAGUUACAAAAGAAUUUGUUAGACGAAUAACCUGGAAAGGUUAAUCAGAGAAGGUAAUAAUCCUGUAGUCGAAAACGAAUUCUCUCUUGAGUGGAUCCUGAGUACGACGGAGCACGUGAAAUUCCGUCGGAAUCUGGGAGGACCAUCUCCUAAGGCUAAAUACUCUCUAGUGACCGAUAGUGAACCAGUACCGUGAGGGAAAGGUGAAAAGUACCCCGGAAGGGGAGUGAAAGAGAACUUGAAACCGUGUGCUUACAAGUAGUCAGAGCCCGUUAAUGGGUGAUGGCGUGCCUUUUGUAGAAUGAACCGGCGAGUUACGAUCUGAUGCAAGGUUAAGCAGAA
rnacentral:rRNA from 1 species